GUGUCAGCCGCCGCGGUAAUACGGAGGGUGCAAGCGUUAGUCGGAAUUACUGGGCGUAAAGGGCGUGUAGGCGGGAAUAUAAGUCAGACGUGAAAUUCCGGGGCUCAACCUCGGAGCUGCAUCUGAAACUAUAUUCCUUGAGGAAAGGCGGAGAAAACGGAAUUCCACAUGUAGCGGUGAAAUGCGUAGAUAUGUGGAGGAACACCUGUGGCGAAAGCGGUUUUCUAGCUUAUUCCUGACGCUGAGGCGCGAAAGCAAGGGGAGCAAACAGGAUUAGAUACCCUGGUAGUCCUUGCCGUAAACUAUGUAUACUUGGCGUAAGUGGUCUCAACCCCACUUGUGCCGAAGCUAACGCGAUAAGUAUACCGCCUGGGGAGUACGCUCGCAAGAGUGAA
rnacentral:rRNA from 1 species